AUGAGUUUUUGAGCAUGUUUAGGCCCUCAAAAGGCCGAUUCAUUUGCCGAAAUAAUAAUAAUAAUAAUAAUAAUUAAAGCUGCAAGCAGCGAUAUGAGGGCCCUCGCACCCCCGGCGCGUCCAGCCAAGCCCAACACCUAAAACCAGCGCUUCCGAUCUGAUGUCACAUUGAUGGAAUUCAUGCAUUUAACCACCAGCUAAAAUUUCAUCUCAUUCAACCAUUAUUAUAGUCGUCCCACUAGGUGGCGCUCUAACCAUUACUGACAAAUGGCAUAACAAACAUUUCCGAGCUCGAGUCUCAUCACGCCUGCGACCUUUGGGAGAGAUUGGACAUUGUGUUUUUGAGCGACAGCAGAUUACUGCUUUUUGGCGAGUGAUUGAAACUCCACGUGCCGCCAUGACCACCCCGUUUCCCUGAACGUAAAAAGCUUCGCAAUUUAACAUCACAAAGGUCUUUAGAUUCCACACACAGGAGAUCGCGUAAAUCUAAUGAAAUCCCUUGGAGGAGUUCGUCAAAGUAUGAGGCCUGAAAAGAGGGGAAAAUGUCGCCAAAUUUACACCUUAAUUUUAAAAUGGCUGACUUCCUGUUGGAUUUGGGAUAUUGCUCCAAGAGACUUUUU
ensembl:lncRNA